GAUGAAGAACGUAGCGAAAUGCGAUAAGUAAUGUGAAUUGCAGAAUUCAGUGAAUCAUCGAAUCUUUGAACGCACCUUGCGCCCUUUGGCUAUUCCGAAGGGCAUGCCUGUUUGAGUAUCAUGAACACCUCAACUCUCAUGGCUUGCCAUGACGAGCUUGGACUUUGGGGGUCUUGCUGGCCUGUGGGUCGGCUCCUCUCAAAUGAAUCAGCUUGCCGGUUUUUGGUGGGCAUCACAGGUGUGAUAACUAUCUACGCUUGUGGUUUUCCACCAGGGUAACCUUCAGCAGUGGAGGUUCACUGGAGCUUACAAAUGUCUCUCCUCUGUGAGGACAGCCCUUUGAAUGUUUGAUCUCAAAUCAGGUAGGACUACCCGCUGAACUUAAGCAUAUCAAUAAGCGGAGGA
rnacentral:misc_RNA from 1 species